CGCGGCUGACGGUUCCCAGCAGGGCCGUGUUCCUGUAGUCUGGAACUUCUGAGCCAGUUUCAGUCUCUGUGAGUGAAGGGAGGACACCAAGAUGACUGCUGUCUGAAAGCCAAAGUCUGUGACUUAUUUGUGGAGAUGCAUAGGAUAAUUCCAGGUGGUCAGAGCAACAGCAAGAGCUCAGAUACUGGUGGGAGGAUCCAGGGAUGGCUGAAAAAUGAAGGAGGGAUCUGGGUUACAUGGAAAGUGAACAUGGGAGGAAAUGAGUUGCAGAUCACCACACUUCAGAGCACAAGGAGGCACCAGGGAAAAGAAGUUGGUCCUAGAUCAUUUCUGUUCACCAUUCUCAGAGAAGAGACAAAUUGUUUCACAAUGCCCCAUGGAAGUGAGUAGAGGGUGAUGCAAUGAGCUGUGGUGCUACAAACCAUAGGUUAUAUCCCUGCAAAGCUUUGCAUCUUUUUUGAUUUUGUACAGUGCCAUUGUGUGUGCAGGCUGUUACUGCAUCUGUAUGGGAAUUGACUGCUGUUUCUAAGUGCAAGGUCAUGCUGUUAAAUUAGGCUAAUGCGAUAUAUUAAAUAAGGCGUUAACAGAAGACUUCUGAUCAAUCAGUUUUCAAUGGAAAAAUUGCUUUCAAGACAGUGAACCUUUUCACUAAUGUCUGCUUUACAUAGGAGAGUUCAACUUUCCAUUAAAAAUAACUUCAU